rnacentral:rRNA from 1 species
AUUGAACGCUGUCGGCAGGCUUAACACAUGCAAGUCGAACGAGUGGCGGACGGGUGAGUAAUGCUUGGGAAUCUAGCUUAUGGAGGGGUAUAACUACGGGAAACUGUAGCUAAUACCGCGUACCCUAGGAUGAGCCCACGUGGGAUUAGGUAGUUGGUGAGUGAAAGGCUCACCAAGCCGACGAUCUCUAGCUGGUCUGAUAGGAUGACCAGCAACACUUGGACAGAGACACGGCACAGACUCCUACGGAAGGCAGCAGUGGGGAAGAUUGCGCAAUGGGCGCAAGCCUGAUGCAGCCAUGACGCGUGUAUGAAGAAGGCCUUCGAGUUGUAAAGUACUUUCAGCGAGGAGGCGUUACUCGCAGGAGAAGCAGCGGCUAACUCCGUGCCAGCAGACGCGGUAAUAC